AAUUUGUGUUAUGAUGUCGGUUUGUUUGUGGCUGUGGGCGAUUAAUUAACCGUUAGUAUGAAAUAACGGCCGAUAAAUGUUACAAGAGUAUUAUUUAAAAUACAUAUAGUUUUCUUAAAUGCUGUUCUGCACGAACGUAAUUUAUUAGAUGAAAUUAAUUUUUAGUCGUAACUAAAUAGCCAUCAUAAGCACUGAUUAGGAUACGUGCAUAUAGUCACCUCAGUUUGGAGUAAUGUGGUAUUCUCAACGUAUGUGCAUCCCAAAUACUAACAAAGAAGAAAAAAGUGCUCUACUUAAGAUGUUCUGCCUUUUGUCCAUCGUAAUAAGCCAGCUAUAAACAUAGCAAGGAUGAAGAGCAUAGCUGAUUAUUUCCACAUUCCAGAGAAGAUCUGUGCUAACAGCUUUGAAGUCACAGACAGCAUGGAGACUAAUAGUAGUCAAAAUAGUCAUAUUUUUGUACAGAAAGUUAAAUUGAACAUCCAAUUAAAAGAAUCCUCAGAAACUUGUACAUUAACUUCUCAGGUGGUAAAAAAAGCAUCAUCAGAGAAAAAUCAGAGGGUAAAUGUAGCAGAUAAUGUCUGCAAGGAUAGCACCUCUCAGGAAAAGGAUACUGAUGCAACUGCCAACAAUUUAUUGAAAGGCAAAGAUGACAAUGUUGCUCAUGAAAUGAGGAUGAAGAAUAUUGGUAAAAGGAAGAGUGUGGCAGCACUUGAGAAGCCAGCGUCAAAGCAAAUUAAAAGACUGAAACAUUCAUAUGUCAUUGUAGAAUCAGAUAGUGUGGAUGAUGAUGACGAUGAUAAUGUUAUUGAUGAUGAUGAUGAUGAUGAUGAUGAAGACAAUUGUGGUGGUG